GACAUAGGUGGCAAGCGUUAUUCGGAAUUACUAGGCGUAAAGCGAGUGUAGGCGGACGAUUAAGUCCGAUGUUAAAUCUCCAGGCUUAACUUGGAGUCGCAUCGGAUACUGGUCGCCUCGAGUGGGGUAGGGGGCAGCGGAAUUCCCGGUGUAGAGGUGAAAUUCGUAGAUAUCGGGAGGAACACCAGUGGCGAAGGCGGCGACCUGGGCCAAUACUGACGCUGAGGUGCGAAAGCGUGGGGAGCAAACAGG
rnacentral:rRNA from 1 species